CUUUGUACACACCGCCCGUCGCUACUACCGAUUG
rnacentral:rRNA from 1 species